rnacentral:lncRNA from 1 species
AAUAUUAACCUACCUGAACUACUGAAUAUGUUCAAAAUAGCAGAGAGCUAUUUCAAAGCUAAAAAAGCUCCAUUUCUUCUUAUUAAUAAGAACAACAAAAAGAAAGGCAAGAAGGGUUCUAGAAAAAAAAUUGAACCCUAAGGCAGGCAUCUCCAAGAAGAAGGUGAAGAAAAUCUCUACCAAAGGUACUUACUAUCACUGC